AGUAUUAGGCAAUUUGCUUGUCAACCAACUUCCCCUCGCCAUUUGCACAAAUAAAGGCUUCCAAAGCAAAGUCGUAUUCCUCUGAAACCACGAGACAAACCAGAAAAGAAUACGGAGCGCAACGAUACGCAGUACGAUCGUCAAUCACCUUCCCGUCACCACUCGCACAGCAAAAGGCCUCCAGAAGGAGGCCUUUUUUUUCUUUUACGAAUCCUAGCUUCUGGAAAGGUGCACGGCCGAGGUGGCACGAACAGGAUCAAUCGUGAGAGGUUUCCGGAAGACGGCAGCGGGAAUUUGCAUCAAGCGAUAUCGGUCUCAAAGGCCGAUGCGGCACAAGCACGACGUUCCUGAGAAGAACGAGAUCCGAGUAGACGCGAGAGGGAGAAAAGAUCUUCAUUCCCAUAUCCGGCGAGAACGAGAUCGCCUGGAGGCACGGCAGCUGCGCCGCAGGAGCCAGCAAAAGCGCAUCGAUAUUGGUGAUCCCAACCAGCAAGGCAGCUGGCGUUUCGCUACCGAAAUAGGGAGCCAUUUGGAGUCAAGACCUUGCACGCAAUCAAGCCGGGGUUCCCAAUCCCCUCGUCACGCGGUGUAGUUGGAGAGCGCAGGUAGGAGGCACGAUGCAGUUGCUGACGAUCCGGCGAACGUGAGUGCUAGCUUUAAGAAAGUGAAGAGAAGAUGAAAGAAGGCAGGGAAUGCAAAGUGCUUAGGAGCGUAGGGUGACCAGGAUAAAAUGUUGACUAGCCGGACCGACUAAUCCCCCUUUUUCUACGGAAAGGUCGUUUCACAACAACUGGAAUAUAAAUAAUGGAAUAUUGCAGAAAAUA